UACGUAGGUCCCGAGCGUUGUCCGGAUUUAUUGGGCGUAAAGCGAGCGCAGGUGGUUUAUUAAGUCUGGUGUAAAUGGCAGUGGCUCAACCAUUGUAUGCAUUGGAAACUGGUAGACUUGAGUGCAGGAGAGGAGAGUGGAAUUCCAUGUGUAGCGGUGAAAUGCGUAGAUAUAUGGAGGAACACCGGUGGCGAAAGCGGCUCUCUGGCCUGUAACUGACACUGAGGCUCGAAAGCGUGGGGAGCAAACAGG
rnacentral:rRNA from 1 species